GACGAACGCUGGCGGCGUGCUUAACACAUGCAAGUCGAACGGAAAGGCCCUGCUUUUGUGGGUUGCACGAGUGGCGCACGGGUGAGUAACACGUGAGUAUCCUGCCCUUGUCUUUGGGAUAACUUCAGGAAACUGGGGCUAAUACCGGAUAUGAGCUCCUGCUGCAUGGUGGUGGUUGGAAAGUUUCGGCGGUUGGGGCUGGUUUAGCGGCUUAGCGGCUUGUUGGUGGGGUAGUGGCUUACCAAGGCUUUGACGGGUAGCCGGCCUGGGAGGUUGGCCGGCCACAUGGCUACUACGAGACGGCCCAGACGCGUACGGGAGGCAGCAGGGGGAAAUAUUGCACAGUGGGCGGAAGCCUGAGGCAGCGACGCCGCGUGCGGGAUGACGGGUUUCGGGUUAUAAACCGCUGUCGCCUGAAACGAGGCGGGAGUGACGGUAAUGGGUAAAGAAGCACCGGCUAACUACGUG
rnacentral:rRNA from 1 species